rnacentral:tRNA from 1 species
GAUAAAAUGGCUGAUUUAAGCGGUAGAUUGUAAAUCUAUUUAUGAAUAAAAUUCUUUUAUUA